GUGUAUCGCCCUUAGAUUGAGGGAGAAGACUGGGGUGCUGUCCGUGACCUGCGGCACUGAGGGGGAAGGUUGGGAUGCUGUGUAUCGCCCUUAGAUUGAGGGAGAAGAUUGGGGUGCUGUCCGUGACCUCCGGCACUGAGGGGGAAGGUUGGGAUGCUGUGUAUCGCCCUUAGAUUGAGGGAGAAGACUGGGGUGCUGUCCGUGACCUGCGGCACUGAGGGGGAAGGUUGGGAUGCUGUGUAUCGCCCUUAGAUUGAGGGAGAAGAUUGGGGUGCUGUCCGUGACCUCCGGCACUGAGGGGGAAGGUUGGGAUGCUGUGUAUCGCCCUUAGAUUGAGGGAGAAGAUUGGGGUGCUGUCGGUGACCUCCGGCACUGAGGGGAAAGGUUGGGAUGCUGUGUAUCACCCUUAGAUUGAGGGAGAAGAUUGGGGUGCUGCCCGUGACCUGCGGCACUGAGGGGAAAGAGAUAAGGAAGCCACCCCAAAAACCCUGAGAGAUAUGAUGGUGCACUAUCAUAGCUUUCAACGGAUGGAAUGAGUCCUGCAAAGACUGAAUAUAAACCAACAAAACCACUCAAGUGCCUGUGCUGUCCCCUUGUGUGGUAUCCCGUGAGAUGUUAGAUUAGCCCAGAAAAAGCACAUUAGAAUGUAUUUCAUACUGUGUUCUGCCUAAAUAAGACCUUGGGGCUUAGAAUAGAACAGGUUCUGUCAAACCUUCUGUGAUUCAGACACAAUUAUGCAAAAUAAAACUGCUUUCCUUUUUU